rnacentral:lncRNA from 1 species
AGCAGUUCCCUGCCAUGUGGUCCUUUCCACUUCCUGUAAAACAAUCCUGAGUUCCAGGAAGAAACACACUCAGCUAACACAUUGCUCGUUUGCUUCCUCAAGGCCAGAAGGAGUAUUUCUUUCUCCAGUCUGCUAAUACAGAGUCUCAUAUAAGAAAAACAAAGCAAGAAAACAGCAACAAUAACAAUAGCAGUGUGGUUCACCGAGUAUGUGCCCAAGGCAUGAAAGAGAGGAGCACAAUUUCCUUGACAGAGCUGAGAUUGUGUUCUGCUUACUUCUGUGGGAAUCGGGCAAGAGCUGAAGGACCUGCAGUCAUCUCCCCAAGAGUGGCCUUUGUGAUUCAUUAA